rnacentral:rRNA from 1 species
UACAGAGGUCUCGAGCGUUAGGCGGAAUCACUGGGCUUAAAGCGUGUGUAGGCGGAUGCCUAAGUACCUUGUGAAAUCCCACGGCUUAACCGUGGAACUGCUUGGUAUACUGGGUGUCUUGAGCCACUCAGGGGCGAGCGGAACAAAUGGUGGAGCGGUGAAAUGCGUAGAUAUCAUUUGGAACGCCAAUGGUGCAAACAGCUCGCUGGGGGUGUGCUGACGCUGGAGACACGAAAGCCAGGGGAGCGAACGGG